rnacentral:lncRNA from 1 species
AAGUAUAACAUAUAUAUGAAAAAUAGUUACAUUACAGAAUAUGAAUCAAUUGAGAAAAGAAGUCAUUAAUCAAAUGUAAAACAAUAUGCACUUAACAAAUAUAGUUGUUAUCACAAAAUUACCGUGCGUUCACUUUAAGUUGAAUAUGUCACGUCAAAUAAAAACGCAUCACAAGUCCCACUAUCAUACACCAACAAACAGUCGUUUGAUUUUUCAUAAUAAAUUAUUGUCGGGAUUUGCAUUCCAUCUUUCUCAGUAAAUAGUUCCUUAUAAUGUUUACCAUCAGAUGAUACCACAAUCACAUUGUUGGAUUCAUAACAUAAAAUAUAAACAUUACCUUUCCCAUCAGUUGUAACAUGCCGCGGCUUUAUUUUCGUACCAAAAGUACAAUUCCAUCUGUUUGAUCCAUACAAGUUACAGCAGUAUAAGGCAAAGUUGAAGGGAUAAGUUAGGCACAUGCUGUCCGUAUCAGGAGAUAGGCAUUGUACCGAUGAUUUUAAAGGACAAUGAAAAGAUCUGAUUAUUUCCCCUGUCAUAGUCAUUACAUCUAUUGUGUGGUAAUCAAUAACAACAUACAUUAGGCCGUUUUGAUAAGAUAGUUUACAUGAAUAACCACGCGUUACAAUUUUAUUCUUCACUUGAUCUGUACUGAUAUUGAUUAUUUCUACAAAUUUUUGAUCAUAUGA